UAUGCAUUAAUUAGUGGUUAGUUUUUAAAUACUCCCGAUCGAAGGAUCGUCACGAGAACAGCAAUCAAUCCAUUUGAGAUCAGUGCACAGAUCAUCUUUCUUUCAGACAGAUGAGUCUCGAGUCUGCGGUGUAGAGAUAUUGGGGUGAGAGUGUAGGUAGUUUUUAAGAAACAACUUGUACUGAGUGUGACCAACAUGAAAAAUUACUUGGAUGUCUACUCAC
rnacentral:lncRNA from 1 species